rnacentral:sRNA from 1 species
UGCCUAAACUAGUAGAAAUACUAGCAUGGCAAAUUAAGUCCUACGAGGAUAAAAAACCCAUCAUAUGGGGUUGUCCUCGUAGGCCACAUCGGGAAACUGGUGUGAAAGACUUAGGUCUU